AGACGUAGCCAAACCUCCGUGUCAAAGCCUGAUCUCGUCCGAUCUUAGAAGCUAAGCAGAGCUGGGCUUGGUUAGUACUUGGAUGGGAGACUGCUGGCAGUGGCAAAACUUACUCAUU
rnacentral:rRNA from 1 species